rnacentral:rRNA from 1 species
ACUCCUACGGGAGGCAGCAGUGGGGAAUCUUGGACAAUGGGGGCGAACCCUGAUCCAGCCAUGCCGCGUGAGUGAUGAAGGCCUUAGGUCGUAAAGCUCUUUCGCCUGUGAUGAUAAUGACAGUAGCAGGUAAAGAAACCCCGGCUAACUCCGUGCCAGCAGCCGCGGUAAUACGGAGGGGUUAGCGUUGUUCGGAAUUACUGGGGCGUAAAGCGCGCGUAGGCGGAUUAGUCAGUUAGAGGUGAAAUCCCAGGGCUCAACCCUGGAACUGCCUUUAAUACUGCUAGUCUUGAGUUCGAGAGAGGUGAGUGGAAUUCCGAGUGUAGAGGUGGAAAUUCGUAGAUAUUCGGAGGAACACCAGUGGCGAAGGCGGCUCACUGGCUCGAUACUGACGCUGAGGUGCGAAAGUGUGGGGAGCAAACAGGAUUAGAUACCCUGGUAGGAUAGCG